rnacentral:rRNA from 1 species
UACAACCUGCCCUUCAGAGGGGGGUAACAACGGGGAACGGUUGCUAAUACCGCGUACGAUUCACAGGCGGCAUCGCUUGUGAAUGAAAGGUGGCCUCUAUAUAUAAGCUAUCGCUGAAGGAGGGGAUUGCGUCUGAUUAGCUAGUUGGAGGGGUAACGGCCCACCAAGGCAAUGAUCAGUAGCCGGUCUGAGAGGAUGAACGGCCACAUUGGGACUGAGACACGGCCCAA